ACUCAGUUGUGCAGGCUGCUUGAUAGACCUCUGUCAUCAGGAAAAGACAAUAGCAAAGAACACAAAUUUUGUACUUCACUCUCAGCUAAAGGGAGCCCUGAGCCUGUCAUUCCUUGGCUUUUUGCAAUGGGAAGUAUGCUGUUGAAUCAGUAGGACUAUCUGCAGCACAUGAAGCAGAGCACUUGGAGAAUCACUUCAUGGACAAGAAGGACAAAACAUAAUUCAUCUGAAGCAGCAACCCCCUUUGCAGUAUCAGACAGGCUGACCUCUCAAAAGAAGGAGAGUAGAAGAUUAGGAAACAAAUAAGGAGGAAUUUCUGACUAACUCUGGUGGAAAUUUUGAGCAAGAUGGAGCUGGAAGAAGAUUUGUUCAGACACUUGCCUCUUGCUUUCUCAGAUAAUGUCACUAGUGAAGCAAUUACUCCUGUUCUUCUAGGAAAAGAGUUACUUCCUUUCAGAGCUGAUCUGACUGACCUAUUCCAUUUCACCUUCCUCCGUGUUUGGCUAUGAAAUUACUAUUUAUCUCUUCAGUCAUAGGCACAGCCCCUCCGGAACGCUUUCUACUGUUUUCUUGGAUAUUUUCUUCAUUCUUUAUAAAGCAUGACAUAUAUAACCCAACUAUUGUUAACAAGAAGAUACAUUGUAGAUCCAAACAUCCAUGACCGGGUAGUACAGAGGAAGUGCUCUCUUAUUUCACACCUUUGCUCCUUGCACUGUUGUGCUUUCUUCUGGUCCAAACAUGGAUUUUGUUUGUUUGUUUGCUGUAAACUCUUUCCAUGGAGUGCCUACACUUCUGUCAUAAUCAUGAAGACUUGACAGGUCUCCUUCAAAAACUAUUAGGAAUGUUCUUUUAACAGCCCAGAUGGGCAGUUAAUCAUAAGGGCCAGAAGUCACAGAGGAUGAACUUACACGAAUAUAUUUUCUUUUUACUCACAGAAGCGGAAAUCAGAAGUUAUGUCUGAAGGUGUGCUAAAAGAGAGUCAGACUGUUGGUCUCAGCAGCAUUCCCAACCCCUGCCAGCUCCCUGUGAAACAGGGACUAGAUUAAUCAAUGUAAUACAAUGGUGCAACAGUGUUUUCACUCAAAGUUGAACCAUUUUAAGUGAACUGAUGCAGCAUUUAGACAGACAAACCUUUGGGAAAGAGAAAAUAGAAGGAAACAAAAAACACAAGGAAUGAUUAAGGGGCUGGAAAAGAUGGAAAGGUUACAGCAUCAAGCAACCGAAUCAUGAAGAUCUGUCUCAGAGACUAAAGCUUCCAGUGAGUUGUAUGUCAUCUCAAAAUAACAAGCCUUGUCCUCAGACUUAGCACGGAGCACUGGGAAACACAACUAAACAUUCAGAACCCAGUCUUACCCCUCCAGACAACUAUUUCUCCUCUUGCUUCUCCCGUUUCUCAGCUCUAUAAAGGAUAAAGUAUUCAUAGCAAAA